GGAAUAUUGGUCAAUGGAGGCAACUCUGAACCAGCCAUGCCGCGUGCAGGAAGACGGUCCUAUGGAUUGUAAACUGCUUUUAUACAGGAAUAAACCUAUCCUCGUGAGGAUAGCUGAAGGUACUGUAGGAAUAAGGAUCGGCUAACUCCGUGCCAGCAGCCGCGGUAAUACGGAGGAUCCAAGCGUUAUCCGGAAUCAUUGGGUUUAAAGGGUUCGUAGGCGGUUUAAUAAGUCAGUGGUGAAAUCUCCUAGCUUAACUAGGAAAUGGCCAUUGAUACUGUUAGACUUGAAUUAUUGGGAAGUAACUAGAAUAUGUAGUGUAGCGGUGAAAUGCUUAGAUAUUACAUGGAAUACCAAUUGCGAAGGCAGGUUACUAUCAAUACAUUGACGCUGAUGAACGAAAGCGUGGGUAGCGAACAGGAUUAGAUACCCGGG
rnacentral:rRNA from 1 species